rnacentral:tRNA from 1 species
AGUAUUGUGCCGGAACAAACGGGCUAUAUUGAUGUUAUAGAUUAUAAGGAACCCCUUCAAUACUA